CCCUUAUAUUGGUUUAAGUUCUUCUGCUAGGAGAUUUAGUUUUGUUAUAGAGAACUUUUAGUACUAGAAAAAAUUUCUUUUUAAUGAUAUUGGCUGUAACAGACUUAAAUGGAGCGACAAGGAAGAUAGUUAUUCAUAUAGCAAUCUCUAUUUGCUUGGGAUUAAGAAGUAGCUGCUAUUGUUGUAUUUAAGUUCUUACUACAAUAUAUUGGGAUUUUGUAGAAUAGAUUCCAAAAAAGGAGCUUAAUUUGGGAGUUUCUUGUUGCUUGUCUGUGGUUAUUAUUGGGAUUUUGUAUACUAAAUUCCAAAAAGAGCUUAAUUUGUGUGUUUCUUUGUUUUCCCACAAAAUUUCAGCUGAAAAAAAAAAGGAUAGCUUAAUCCGGGCGUCUGUUUUUGUCAGGAUUUCAGCAGGGAAAAGGGAAGCUUUCUAAUGGAGGAAGAAAAAGAGUUGAAGAAAGAGAAGAAAAACAUCCCUGUAUUGCCAUGGAUGAGAAAUCCAAUUGACAUUACUACCUUUGAUCAAUGCUCUCUCGAUCUUUUGCCUUUUAUUGAUCCCAGGUUAGUGGUGGCUUUGAAGAAUAUGAGCAUCACUUCACUCUUUCCCGUGCAACUUGCUGUCUGGCAAGAGACAAUUGGACCUGGCUCUUCUGAAAGAGACCUUUGUAUAAAUUCACCUACAGGGAGUGGAAAAACUCUUGCAUAUGCAUUACCAAUUGUUCAGAUGCUGUCUACACGUUCCGUUAAAUGUCUUCGUGCACUAGUGGUCUUGCCUACUAGAGACCUCGCUUUGCAGGUCAAAGAGGUCUUCUCUGCUCUUGCACCUGCAGUAGGUUUGUCUGUCGGCUUGGCAGUCGGUCAGUCAUCAAUUUCGGAUGAAAUUUCUGAGCUCAUCAGGAAACCCAAUGUUGAGUAUGGCAUAUGUUACGAUCCUGAAGAAUCCUCAUACGAGUUACAAAGCGCAGUAGACAUUUUAGUGGCAACUCCUGGAAGACUGAUGGACCACAUCAGUAACACUGAUGGUUUUACCCUUGAACAUCUAUGUUAUCUUGUUGUUGACGAAACAGAUAGGUUAUUAAGGGAAGCUUAUCAGUCCUGGCUUCCUACCGUCAUUCACUUGACCAGCUCUUCUAUUGAUGGGAACUUCCCUUCUGUUGAUGAUCUUCUUCCUUGCACUUAUGGUUCAUUGAAGACAAUCAGAAGAGUGGGCAUAGAAAGAGGGUUCAAGGGAAAAGCUUAUCCAAGGCUUGCGAAGAUGGUUUUAUCAGCCACACUAACACAGGACCCAAGUAAACUUGCUCAGCUUGAUUUACAUCAUCCCCUUCUUUUGACGACUGGAGAAAGACGUUACAAGCUUCCCGAAGAACUCAAAUCAUUUAAACUGCUAUGUCAAUCGAAGCUUAAGCCAAUUUAUCUAGUUUCUCUUCUUCAAAGUCUGCAAGGGGAGAAAUCAAUUGUUUUCACAUCAUCUGUGGAGUCCACUCAUAGAUUAUGCACCUUGCUUAAGUUUUUCGACAAUAUGCAAAUUGAGUUCAAGGAGUAUUCUCGUCUUCAACGUCAAUCUGUAAGAAGCAAGACGUUAAGGGCUUUCCGGUCAGGACAAGUGCAAGUGCUUAUUUCCUCUGAUGCCAUGACUCGUGGAAUGGAUGUUGAAGGAGUGAGAAAUGUCAUAAACUAUGAUAUGCCUGCAUAUAUAAAAACAUUUAUUCAUCGGGCAGGUCGAACUGCAAGAGCAGGCCAAAGUGGAUGUUGCUUUACGUUAAUGCAUAAAGAUGAGAUUAAGCGUUUCAAGAAGAUGUUACAAAAAGCUGACUGUAACUCUUGCCCUACCUAUUCUGUUUCUUCUGAAGUGAUAGAGUCACUCCGCUCUGUGUACACCUCAGCUUUGGAGAAACUUAGAGAGAAUGUUGAAUCAGAAAAGUUUAAGAAAAGCAAGAUUAGAUUGAAGUCGUCAAAUGUGAGAAAGGAGAAGUGAAAAGCUGCCCACUGCAAUAACUUCCAUUUUCCUAGACAGUGUAGUGCUCAGUUGCCAACCAGUUUAUGACUAUUACAUGGUUCAACUUGAGCUGCUCUGGAUUUAGUAUUGCCAUUUAGUUAAGGUGUAAGCUGGUAAUUUAUGAAGCUACCAGAUUCCAUUAGAUCCAUUUUGGUUCUAUGGGAGAGGAAGUGUCUCAAAGAAAAACUAGGAGGAGGGAGAAGACGCGAGGGUCGGGUAUAUUGAAGUUGGAGGGUCAACUGAUUCGCACAUUAGAAUUAAGUCUCUUGUUGUUUGGGAGGAAAGCACUUAAUUAGAACAAAAGAAAGAAGAGCUGCAUGGCAACUAGUUUAUCAUAUAUUGUAGGAAAGAGGAGCAAUAGGUUCUUUUGAUGUAAAGCUGUUCAAUUGUUCAUAUUAAAUAUGAAUUUUUCGACAUUCUUGUGUUCUGGUCUAAAUAGGUGUAGCUGAGUCAACUGAGCUAUAGCAUUUAUUUUAAGUUUGUAUAGUACUUCCUUAGUGCUUGUUUGUGGAAUAAAAUACUUUGUUUAUCUAUGAAAGAAACUAAAAUACCGCCAAAAAAGCCAUGAAGUGGAAAGAGAGGUGCAAUUUCCAACGGAGGCAAAAAAAACACUAGGUGAUUUUUUCUCAUCUACCUAAGCUUUGGUGGGCAGAGUUACCCGACACCUGUAUUGGUGAGAGGUAGUAGGAACCUGGUGGUAUAGUCAAGGUGCGCACAAACUGGACACCAUCGUCAUUUAAAAAAAAAAAAAAAGAUACCGUGCAUAGCAAUUUCUUAACUUAUUUUUUUGAUAAGACUAUACUGAAGUGACUUUGGGAAUAUAUAUUUUUUAUCAUGGUGUCCGGGCCAACUUGCCAACUUUGGGAAUAUUUAAAGAGGUAGCAACAAAAGUUUACUGAUAGUUCGAUUGGAGAAAUUUUGCUUUUCUCACACAGAUUUGGACGGUCAAGAAGACUAAUUCUGUUUGGGAUUGUGAAAGCUGGACUUUCCAUGAAGGUUCAUUGCCUAAAUUCAGGUCUCUUACGCUAUACUGUGAGAAAAAUUCAAGUGUAUAAGCAUCCAUGGUACGUCGGUGGAGACGUGUUUGAUUUGAUUGGUAUGAAUAUUGAGUGGCUGGAGCUCUUCAUUGCUGGUGAAAACUGGAAACUGAGAAUCUUCAUCUUGAACUAUGAUUGUAACGGCAGAUAAUUUUAAGGAAUGACAUACACCGGUUUUUGUUAUUUACUGGAGAUCUUUCAUACUUAAAUUUUAUUUAUUUAUGUUGUAUAUUAUUAGUGAUGUGGAUUUUAUAUUGAAAAUUCAACAUUAUACUUAGUUAUACUUAUGCAAUAUAGACUUUUAUAUAUGGA